AGUCGAGGGGUAUAAGUCUUCGGAUUUAGAGACCGGCGCACGGGUGCGUAACGCGUAUGCAAUCUACCUUUUACAGCGGGAUAGCCCAGAGAAAUUUGGAUUAAUACCUCAUAGUAUAGCAGCUUCGCAUGAAGCCGCUAUUAAAGUCACAACGGUAAAAGAUGAGCAUGCGUCCCAUUAGCUAGUUGGUAAGGUAACGGCUUACCAAGGCUACGAUGGGUAGGGGUCCUGAGAGGGAGAUCCCCCACACUGGUACUGAGACACGGACCAGACUCCUACGGGAGGCAGCAGUGAGGAAUAUUGGACAAUGGGCGCAAGCCUGAUCCAGCCAUGCCGCGUGCAGGAUGACGGUCCUAUGGAUUGUAAACUGCUUUUAUACGAGAAGAAACACUCCUACGUGUAGGAGCUUGACGGUAUCGUAAGAAUAAGGAUCGGCUAACUCCGUGCCAGCAGCCGCGGUAAUACGGAGGAUCCAAGCGUUAUCCGGAAUCAUUGGGUUUAAAGGGUCCGUAGGCGGUUUAAUAAGUCAGUGGUGAAAGCCCAUCGCUCAACGGUGGAACGGCCAUUGAUACUGUUAAACUUGAAUUAUUAGGAAGUAACUAGAAUAUGUAGUGUAGCGGUGAAAUGCUUAGAGAUUACAUGGAAUACCAAUUGCGAAGGCAGGUUACUACUAAUUGAUUGACGCUGAUGGACGAAAGCGUGGGUAGCGAACAGGAUUAGAUACCCUGGUAGUCCACGCCGUAAACGAUGGAUACUAGCUGUUGGGUGCAAACUCAGUGGCUAAGCGAAAGUGAUAAGUAUCCCACCUGGGGAGUACGUUCGCAAGAAUGAAACUCAAAGGAAUUGACGGGG
rnacentral:rRNA from 1 species